UAAUACCAGCUCCCCGAGUGGUUAGGGCGUUUAUUGGGCCUAAAGCAUCCGUAGCCGGCUCUGUAGGUCUCCCGUUAAAUUCAACGGCUCAACCGUUGAGCUGCCGGAGAUACCGCAGGGCUAGGAGGCGGGAGAGGUGGACGGUACUCCGUGGGUAGGGGUAAAAUCCUCUGAUCCAUGGAAGACCACCAGUGGCGAAGGCGGUCCGCCAAAACGCGCUCGACGGUGAGGGAUGAAAGCUGGGGGAGCGAACCGGAUUAGAUACCCGGGUAGUCCCAGCUGUAAACGAUGCGAGCUAGGUGAUGGAGUGACUACGUGUUACUCCAGUGCCGCAGGGAAGCCGUUAAGCUCGCCGCCUGGGGAGUACGGUCGCAAGACUG
rnacentral:rRNA from 1 species